AUUGAACGCUGGCGGCAUGCCUAACACAUGCAAGUCGAACGGCAGCACGGGAGCUUGCUCCUGGUGGCGAGUGGCGGACGGGUGAGUAAUGCAUAGGAAUCUGCCCAGUAGCGGGGGACAACUUGGGGAAACUCAAGCUAAUACCGCAUGCGCCCUACGGGGGAAAGCGGGGGACCUUCGGGCCUCGCACUAUUGGAUGAGCCUAUGUCAGAUUAGCUUGUUGGUGGGGUAACGGCCUACCAAGGCGACGAUCUGUAGCUGGUCUGAGAGGACGAUCAGCCACACUGGGACUGAGACACGGCCCAGACUCCUACGGGAGGCAGCAGUGGGGAAUAUUGCACAAUGGGCGAAAGCCUGAUGCAGCAAUGCCGCGUGUGUGAAGAAGGCCUGCGGGUUGUAAAGCACUUUCAGUAGGGAGGAAACAGUAGCCGGUUAAUAUCCGUUGCCUUGACGUUACUACAGAAGAAGCACCGGCUAACU
rnacentral:rRNA from 1 species